GUUGUAUAGUCAAGUAAUUAAGUGCAUGUGGUGGAUGCCUUGGCAGUCAGAGGCGAUGAAAGACGUGAUAGCCUGCGAAAAGCUCCGGGGAGGCGGCAAAUAUCCUUUGAUCCGGAGAUGUCUGAAUGGGGGAACCCACCUACUUUAAGGUAGGUAUUGCAACAUGAAUACAUAGUGUUGCAAGGCGAACGAGGGGAAGUGAAACAUCUCAGUACCCUUAGGAAAAGAAAUCAAUUGAGAUUCCCUCAGUAGCGGCGAGCGAACGGGGAUCAGCCCAUUAAGUUAUGUGUGUUUUAGUGGAACGCUCUGGGAAGUGCGAACGUAGAGGGUGAUAUUCCCGUACACGAAAGGGCACACAUAAUGAUGACGAGUAGGGCGAGGCACGUGAAACCUUGUCUGAAUAUGGGGGGACCAUCCUCCAAGGCUAAAUACUCCUGACUGACCGAUAGUGAACCAGUACCGUGAGGGAAAGGCGAAAAGAACCCCUGUGAGGGGAGUGAAAUAGAUCCUGAAACCGCAUGCAUACAAGCAGUGGGAGCACCUUCGUGGUGUGACUGCGUACCUUUUGUAUAAUGGGUCAGCGACUUAUAUUCAGUAGCGAGGUUAACCGUAUAGGGGAGCCGUAGAGAAAUCGAGUCUUAAUAGGGCGUUUAGUUGCUGGGUAUAGACCCGAAACCAGGCGAUCUAUCCAUGAGCAGGUUGAAGGUUGGGUAACACUAACUGGAGGACCGAACCCACUGUCGUUGAAAAGCCAGGGGAUGACUUGUGGAUAGGGGUGAAAGGCUAAUCAAGCCUGGUGAUAGCUGGUUCUCCCCGAAAGCUAUUUAGGUAGCGCCUCGGACGAAUACCAUAGGGGGUAGAGCACUGUUUCGGCUAGGGGGUCAUCCCGACUUACCAAACCGAUGCAAACUCCGAAUACCUAUGAGUACUAUCCGGGAGACAGACUGCGGGUGCUAACGUCCGUAGUCAAGAGGAAAACAAUCCAGACCGCCAGCUAAGGCCCCAAAAUCAUAGUUAAGUGGGAAACGAUGUGGGAAGGCAUAGACAGCUAGGAGGUUGGCUUAGAAGCAGCCACCCUUUAAAGAAAGCGUAAUAGCUCACUAGUCGAGUCGGCCUGCGCGGAAGAUGUAACGGGGCUAAAACUAUGUGCCGAAGCUGCGGANNNNNNNNNNNNNNNNNNNNNNNNNNNNNNNNNNNNNAUGCUGGAGGUAUCAGAAGUGCGAAUGCUGACGUGAGUAACGACAAAACGGGUGAAAAACCCGUUCGCCGAAAGACCAAGGGUUCCAGUCCAACGUUAAUCGGGGCUGGGUGAGUCGACCCCUAAGGCGAGGCCGAAAGGCGUAGUCGAUGGGAAAAUGGUUAAUAUUCCAUUACUUCUGUGUAAUGCGAUGAGAGGACGGAGAAGGCUAAAUCAGCCUGGCGUUGGUUGUCCAGGUGAAAGGAUGUAGGCAUGUAUCUUAGGCAAAUCCGGGGUACUCUAUGCUGAGAUCUGAUAGCAAGCUGUACUUGUACAGCGAAGUGGUUGAUGCCAUGCUUCCAGGAAAAGUCUCUAAGCUUCAGUUACACAGGAAUCGUACCCGAAACCGACACAGGUGGUCAGGUCGAGUAGACCAAGGCGCUUGAGAGAACUCUGCUGAAGGAACUAGGCAAAAUGGUACCGUAACUUCGGGAGAAGGUACGCUGUUGUUGGUGAUGGAACUCGCUUCCUGAGCUGACGACAGCCGCAGAAACCAGGCCGCUGCAACUGUUUAUUAAAAACAUAGCACUCUGCAAACACGAAAGUGGACGUAUAGGGUGUGAUGCCUGCCCGGUGCUGGAAGGUUAAUUGAUGGGGUUAGCGUAAGCGAAGCUCUUGAUCGAAGCCCCAGUAAACGGCGGCCGUAACUAUAACGGUCCUAAGGUAGCGAAAUUCCUUGUCGGGUAAGUUCCGACCUGCACGAAUGGCAUAAUGAUGGCGGCGCUGUCUCCAGCAGAGGCUCAGUGAAAUCGAAAUCGCUGUGAAGAUGCAGUGUACCCGCGGCUAGACGGAAAGACCCCGUGAACCUUUACUGCAGCUUGACACUGAACUUUGACCUUACUUGUGUAGGAUAGGUGGGAGGCUUUGAAGCUGGAACGCUAGUUCCAGUGGAGCCGUCCUUGAAAUACCACCCUGGUAAUGUUGAGGUUCUAACUCUGUCCCGUGAUCCGGGACGAGGACCGUGUCUGGUGGGUAGUUUGACUGGGGCGGUCUCCUCCUAAAGAGUAACGGAGGAGUACGAAGGUGCGCUCAGCGUGGUCGGAAAUCACGCGUAGAGUAUAAAGGCAAAAGCGCGCUUAACUGCGAGACCCACAAGUCGAGCAGGUACGAAAGUAGGUCUUAGUGAUCCGGUGGUUCUGUAUGGAAGGGCCAUCGCUCAACGGAUAAAAGGUACUCUGGGGAUAACAGGCUGAUACCGCCCAAGAGUUCAUAUCGACGGCGGUGUUUGGCACCUCGAUGUCGGCUCAUCUCAUCCUGGGGCUGAAGCAGGUCCCAAGGGUAUGGCUGUUCGCCAUUUAAAGAGGUACGCGAGCUGGGUUUAGAACGUCGUGAGACAGUUCGGUCCCUAUCUACCGUGGGCGCUGGAAAUUUGAGAGGAUCUGCUCCUAGUACGAGAGGACCAGAGUGGACGAACCUCUGGUGUACCGGUUGUGACGCCAGUCGCAUCGCCGGGUAGCUAUGUUCGGAAGGGAUAACCGCUGAAAGCAUCUAAGCGGGAAGCCUACCUCAAGAUAAGAUUUCCCUAGGACUUUAUGUCCUCUAAAGAGCCGUUCGAGACUAGGACGUUGAUAGGUUGGAUGUGGAAGCAUAGUGAUAUGUGAAGCUGACCAAUACUAAUUGCUCGUGAGGCUUGACUAUACAACACCCAAGCAGUUG
rnacentral:rRNA from 1 species